rnacentral:lncRNA from 1 species
CUGAAGUGAUGUGUGUGUGUUCCACAGCAAUAAAUUAUGGAAAGAAAAGCAGAGCACUACAGUGACUUGCACAGGCCAAGAUGUCUCAAGUUGUACAUUCAAACAGAAGUGAUGGGUGACAGGCUUUUACUAGCAACUUGUGAAGAAAAAUCAGGUAGCUAGAGCAGAGACCAGAUGCUGUGAUUGAUGCAAACAGGGAGAGACGUUUUACAAUUGAAAUGAUAGACUCUGAUAUUUACAUGUAUUGUUUUGUAUGAUGAACUUUGUCUGUGCAAGUGGCUAUGCCCGUAAAAGAGGCACACUUUUGCUUAUUGUGUUUGUUAUCUUUCAAUAUAAAAAGUAAUGGUAAAGGUCUCCGAGAUGAAGGUUUAGUGUUGUUUGUCUGUAUUA